rnacentral:rRNA from 1 species
AUUGAACGCUGGCGGCAGGCCUAACACAUGCAAGUCGAACGAGUGGCGGACGUGUGAAAAGUGUAUGGAAAAGUGCCCGAUGGGGGGGGAUAACUACUGGAAACAGUAGAUAAUCCCGCAUAACAUCGGAUAGGCCCAUAUGGUAUUAGCUAGUAGGUGGGGUAAAGGCGCACCUAGGCGACGAUCCCUAUCUGGUCUGAGAGGAUGACCAGCCACACUGGGACUGAGACACGGUCCAGACUCCUACGGGAGGCAGCAGUGGGGAAUAUUGCACAAUGGGCGCAAGCCUGAUGCAGCCAUGCCGCGUGUAUGAAGAAGGCCUUCGGGUUGUAAAGUACUUUCAGCGAGGAGGCGUUACCCGCAGAAGAAGCACCGGCUAACUCCGUGCCAGCAGCCGCGGUAAUAC